rnacentral:rRNA from 1 species
AACGCUGGCGGCAUGCCUAACACAUGCAAGUCGAACGAGACCUUCGGGUCUAGUGGCGGACGGGUGAGUAACGCGUGGGAACCUGCCCAGAGGUAAGGGAUAACUUCGGGAAACCGGAGCUAAUACCAUAUACGCCCUUCGGGGGAAAGAUUUAUCGCCUUUGGAUGGGCCCGCGUCGGAUUAGCUAGUUGGUGAGGUAAAGGCUCACCAAGGCGACGAUCCGUAGCUGGUCUGAGAGGAUGAUCAGCCACACUGGGACUGAGACACGGCCCAGACUCCUACGGGAGGCAGCAGUGGGGAAUAUUGGACAAUGGGGGAAACCCUGAUCCAGCAAUGCCGCGUGUGUGAAGAAGGCCUUAGGGUUGUAAAGCACUUUCAGCAGGGAAGAUAAUGACGGUACCUGCAGAAGAAGCCCCGGCUAACUCCGUGCCAGCAGCCCGCGGUAAGACGGAG